rnacentral:rRNA from 1 species
UACAGGGGGUGCAAACGUUGCUCGGAAUCAUUGGGCGUAAAGCGCACGUAGGCGGUCUGUUAUGUCGGAUGUGAAAGCCCUUGGCUCAACUGAGGAAGUGCAUCCGAAACUGGCAGGCUAGAGUACUAAAGAGGGUCGCGGAAUUCCCGGUGUAGAGGUGAAAUUCGUAGAUAUCGGGAGGAACACCGGUGGCGAAGGCAGGUCUCUGGGCCACUACUGACGCUGAGAAGCGAAAGCAUGGGGAGCAAACAGG